rnacentral:rRNA from 1 species
CCUACGGGGAGGCAGCAGUAGGGAAUCUUCCACAAUGGACGAAAGUCUGAUGGAGCAACGCCGCGUGAGUGAAGAAGGGUUUCGGCUCGUAAAGCUCUUUUGGUAGUGAAGAAAGAUAGCGGUAGUAACUCGCCUUUAUUUUACGGUAAUUACUUAGAAAGUCACGGCUAACUACGUGCCAGCCGCCGCGGUAAUACGUAGGUGGCCAGCGUUGUCCGGAUUUAUUUGGCGUAAAGCCAGUGCAGGCGGU